rnacentral:lncRNA from 1 species
GGGAUUUGAGGAGCUUGCAGCAAGAAUUCUUCUAAACUGCCCAGGUCGUCCUCCUCCUCUUCUGCUUGCAGCAACAAUUCAUCCAUGUUCGGGCUGUGUUUGGAUGGUUCUGGGACAGCUUCAUCCUUCAUGUCACCUUCCAAAGUGAUGGCUUCAUCGAUUUCAACUUCUGCCUUUGACUUUGCAAUGUUUGAGUUGGAAAGUUCGCUUUGAUCUCGAAUCUGUGCCAUGAAUUCCACAAUCUGCCCAACUUGCAUAUCCAAUUUGUCCACUCUUUUGACUCGGUCUUGCAUCUCCUGGUUUUGAUUUUCUACUCCCUGAUUCAAAGAGGUGAGUAACUUAUUAAGUGUAUCAUUAUUCAAGGACGUACCUGAAUUGAAUUGGGCUGAUUGUUGUGGUGGCUGUGACGGUUCAUAUGGCCACUGAUAGAACUCUUCCGAUGGUGGCAAUUGUUCUUCUUUUGUGAACCCUGCGUCAAAGAAAUUAGUCCUUCAAGAAUUUCAUUAUAAUUUACGGGCAUACUUUGAUUUGAUUGGAAUUGUUGUGGGGGAUGUUGUGGUGGCUGCAUAGGUCUUGAAUAGAACUCGUCUUGCUGCCAAUAUCCACCUUGUUGAAAUUGUUGAGGUUCAUCCCACAUAUAAUCUGAAUUACCUCUCCAAUCUGAAUUGCAAGCGUUGGAAAGCAUGUUGCCCCUUGAUUGGUUAUGGCCUUGAUAUCCCCAAACAUCUUCAUUUGCAGAAAAUU